UACCGGGGGGGCAAGCGUUGUUCGGAAUUACUGGGCGUAAAGGGCUCUUAGGUGGCCUACUAAGUCAGACGUGAAAUCCCUCAGCUUAACUGGGGAACUGCGUCUGAUACUGGAUGGCUUGAGUUUGGGAGAGGGAUGCGGAAUUCCAGGUGUAGCGGUGAAAUGCGUAGAUAUCGGGAGGAACACCGGUGGCGAAGGCGGUUCUCUGGGCCUUACCUGACGCUGAGGAGCGAAAGCGUGGGGAGCGAACAGG
rnacentral:rRNA from 1 species